GAUCAUGGCUCAGGACGAACGCUGGCGGCGCGCCUAACACAUGCAAGUCGAACGGAGAUGAUAAAAGCUUGCUUUGAUCAUCUUAGUGGCGGACGGGUGAGUAACACGUGAGCAACCUGCCUUUCAGAGGGGGAUAACGUUUGGAAACGAACGCUAAUACCGCAUAACGUAUACGGAUGGCAUCAACUGUAUACCAAAGGAGCAAUCCGCUGAAAGAUGGGCUCGCGUCCGAUUAG
rnacentral:rRNA from 1 species